CCCUUUCCAACCACUUGUCCAAGUGGGACCCAUUGUACCAUUUUAAUUAAAAAAAAAUAUUUUCUGUCACCCAGGUGGGCCCCACGCGGGUCCACCUCCAAAUUCAUCUUCACUCUCUCAUUUUUUCUCUCUUUCACACCAUAUACGUAAAUCUCUCUUCUUCACAAAAUCACACUACAUUUUUCUCUUUUCUCUCCCUCAUUAAAGCUCACGGCCCCACCUCCUUCAACUUUUUAUUUCAUUUUGAUUUUCCCCACUCAGAAUUCUACACAAUUUACGUAACUCCCAUGCACUCACACCUUCAUCCCUUCUUUCUUUUUCUUCUUUGACUUUUCAACCCAACCCACCUUUGUUCACCCUCACUUUUACGUCACUUACUACCCCUACUCUCUUCUUAUCUUAUC
rnacentral:lncRNA from 1 species